UAUAAAAUAAAAAAAAAACACAAUCCUAGCUCAUUCAAAGAAACAAUAUACGGCGCUCUCAUCUCCCUUCUAUCUCUCCUUCGUCUCCGACAACGCCGUUCUUCCCUCUAGGGCUUCUCCUCUCUCCGCCGGUUACGAUCUCUCCAGUGCUGUAGAGACGAAGAUUCCGGCGAGAGGCAAGGAUCUGGUGGCUACUAACCUCAGUGCAUUUCAAUUCCAGAAGGCACCUAUGCCCGCAUUGCUCCACGAUCGGGUCUUCCGUUGAAGCAUUGGAUUGACGUUGGUGCGGGGGUGAUUGACGCCGGUUGGGGUGAUACUGUUCAACCAGUCGACGAUCUCAGAAAAUUGCUCGAAUUCGACUCGACGGUUAACAUUCUCGUUAACUUGGCCGGUGUUCUUGAUAGCAAGUACUCGACCAUAGCCAACAUUGCAGUGGAGGAUUUUGAUCACAUUUUCAGAAAAGAAUGAAAGAAAAAAAGUAAUAAUAUCUCCUCCAAAAUGGAACAGAUGCGCCUAUUCUGGUUCUCUUACAAGUGGAGUAGGAAUGCCAAUACAAAGUGCAAUUUUGGGGAAACCAUCAGAAUUUUCAUUAAUGCAAUUUUGAAGGAAGAUACGAUCUAGUGAGAUUCAUGAAGAUAAUACAAAAAGCUGGUCUCUAUGCUCAUCUUCGCAUUGGUCCUUAUGUCUGUGCUGAAUGGAACUUCGAGUACAAUACGUUCUCCCCCGAUACGGUGAACAAGAUGCCUAGAACAGAUCUCGUUGAGGAGAUUUUUAGACUACAAGCUGCACUGGGUGAGCAGACACAAGUUACAAAGUUUAGCCAAGAGGAGUAUGAAAGGCUUCAAAAUUCAUGAGAUGAAAAAUCUUGCAGUGAUGAAGAAAAAUACUUUCCAGAGAACUAGUAGGCAUAUGACAGAAACUUUUUAGGUAACUGCCAUAAUAUUAUUGUUCAUCUUCCUCAGAAAAUGGAGGUUCGGAUCAAGAUCCUCUACACUUCAAUAUGUCAUACCGAUCUAGCAUGUUGGAAAGCUAAGAAUGAAGCUCAGCGCGCUUUUCCUCGGAUUUUUGGCCAUGAAGCUUCCGGAAAGCUGUGUUGAAGUUGGAUUUACACAAUGACAAAACCAAGCAAAAAACUAUGAAAAUUGUCUCUGGCAUUUCAGGGGUUGAAUCAGUAUCUGUGGACAUGAAGGAGAAGAAAAUGAGUUUAAUUAGUGAAAAUAGCACUUAUUAGAUGAUUUAAAUACAUUAUUAGAUAUUAAUAUAGUUUAGGGAAUUGGAUGGUAGAUUUUUUAUUGCAAUGUUUGUAUUUUAGUAAGUUUAGUAAGACAAGGUUUUGCAUAGGAGUUAUUACUUUUGAUUUUCAAUAUAAAAAAUUAUAUAUUAUA